rnacentral:rRNA from 1 species
GACGAACGCUGGCGGCGUGCCUAAUACAUGCAAGUUGAGCGCUGAAGGUUGGUACUUGUACCGACUGGAUGAGCAGCGAACGGGUGAGUAACGCGUGGGGAAUCUGCCUUUGAGCGGGGGACAACAUUUGGAAACGAAUGCUAAUACCGCAUAAAAACUUUAAACACAAGUUUUAAGUUUGAAAGAUGCAAUUGCAUCACUCAAAGAUGAUCCCGCGUUGUAUUAGCUAGUUGGUGAGGUAAAGGCUCACCAAGGCGAUGAUACAUAGCCGACCUGAGAGGGUGAUCGGCCAAAUUGGGACUGAGACACGGCCCAAAAUCCUACGGGAGGCAGCAGUAGGGAAUCUUCGGAAAUGGAGGAAAGUCUGACCGAGCAACGCCGGGGGAGUGAAGAAGGUUUUCGGAUCGUAAAACUCUGUUGGUAGAGAAGAACGGUGGGGAGAGUGGAAAGCUCAUCAAGUGACGGUAACUACCCAGAAAGGGACGGCUAACUACGUG